GACAACUAGGGGGAAGAAGCCGGGGUGAAAGGGAGGGGAGAAGGGUUAUCUGGAAUGAGGGGGGGUAAAGCGGACGCAGGCGGCGGCGUAAGGCUGACGUGAAAUCUCCUGGCGUAACUGGGAGGGGUCGUUGGAAACGGAGUAGCUUGAGGUGGUGAGAGGGGUGCAGAAUGCCCGGUGGAGUGGUGGAAUGCGUAGAUAUCGGGAGGAACACCAGUGGCGAAAGCGGCUCUCUGGUCCACACCUGACGCUCAGGUGCGAAAGCGUGGGUAGCGAACGGGAUUAGAUACCCCUGUAGUC
rnacentral:rRNA from 1 species